rnacentral:rRNA from 1 species
AUGCGAUACUCCCAACGUGUGGAUCUUGCUCAAGCUGGUGUACAUACCUUCACCAGCAAACAGGUAAUACUCAUCGUCGAAGAGGUUGUCAGGGUUGGCAUUAUCAUUCAUGAGACCACUAAGGUAAGCGUCCAUGUCGGUUGCACGGGUGCCGAUUCAAUAAAUGAGUGUUCAGUGUCAAGGGACACAAGAAGAGUAAGGAUGGGAGUGUUACCUUCACUCCUGAUCGUGUACUCUGGCGUGCUAGAUGAGGUUGAGGCACCAUGUGCUUCAAGUAUGGUUGGUUGUCCCGUUGAGCUCAUUUUCGGUAUGAAGAUAGUCCUGGCAGUUGGGGUCUUAACCCUACUUGCAAAGCUUGCAUUACGACGAUUUAGCAGAGCCUUCCUCUCACCACGUGGCACCUGCGUACAUGAUUUUCGUUUGCCAAUUUUCUCUUGA